AGUGUCAUUAAACUAAUGAUCGGAUUCUACAUUUUCUUUGUAGAAUUGCAACAUGCUGCCAUAGAACUAGAUAUCGUUAAAGUUACGAUCAGAUAUUUCAUUUUCUUUGUUGUGGGGGGACAAAAGACCACAGGCUAGCUUAGCCUCAUAGCUGCCUGGGGCUGAAUACCCAACCGAGAGCGAAGAGCUUGGCCGCGGGGAUGCGGGCACCAAGAUUCCAACCCGGGACCUCUAGGGAGAGGGUGGGUGAGGCUGGGCCAACUGGGCUACCCCAGAAGGUUCAUUGGCUAAGUUAGUGUGAUGGUUGGUUCUUUGAAGGUAACUUAGCGUACAAUUUUUUUAUAUCAACAUUACACUUAAGGGUGGAUUAUCUAUUUUUGGUUACUAACGCGAGCAUGAAUUUUUAUAUUUUACUACAGUCCCAUACAUUUGUUGUUUUGAGGUGUUGUUUGUAUGAUGAUGAGGUUUAGGGGUGGCAAUGGGUCGGGUUUGGGACGGGUUUAGGUAAUUCCAACCCCAAACCCGGUUAGAUAAGCUUAUUCCAAACCUGUCGGGUUUCUAACAGGUAAGUAUUCAUCGGGUAUCGGGUAUACCCACGGGUUUCGGGUAAAACCAUAAAUUUAAAAAUAUUACCUGUUGGGUAUACCCGACCCAAAACCCAUUGGGUAUCUAUUGAGUAACUACUAGUCAGUUAUGUUCAGUAUUAUCACUAUAAAAAAUAACAAAUAACUACAAUGUAUACGAAAUAAAAUAUCUAUACGUAUAAAAAUGGAUGUAUCAUAUAUACAGGGUACACCGUACACUUUAUCGGGUAAUUGGGUCUGGUAAACAUGUAUAUCACCAAAUCCCAAACCCUGUUAACCGACCCCAAAUCCGUCCCAAAUGUGUUAGAUUUUGGGUUUACCCAUCAGGUUCGGGUUUGAUUGCCAUCCCUAAAUUGAGGUUAGCUGCAUUUGUAACAAUAGGUUUUGUUGUUUGGAUAUAUAGUAAACAUGUUUAUUAAGCCAUGAAACCUUUAUUGGUUCUUCUAAAGCCAGUUUUGGAUAUCAGUGUAAUUGCUAGUAAUUUGGCCAAAUGGUUGGGUUGCCUGGGCUGAGCAAUGGGUCGAAUCAGUCAUGUUUUAAGUUCGGGUCAUAACGGGGGUAGGCCAACCUAGGUAUGGCUUUCAAGAAAAGCAUUGUUCGUUCGUGAUAGGGCUACACUGUAUUACCUAAUGGGGAAUCAUGAUAUCAGUUUUGUGCCCAAGGAAGCCACUUGCAGAGAAAAAAAAUCUGCUGCCCCCUGGAGCUGGUGCUGACUGAAGCUGAAAAAGAUUAUGCGGUAAAUGCUAUGAUGCACAUAUUCAACAAACAUGUCGUGAAAUACGGUACCGGAGCAGUUACUGGAUAAAUGCUUCUGAAGCGGAAUAAUUUGCUGAGGUGGCCACGAAGCCAUUGAAAGCCCUUUCAUAUGAUACAUCUGGUCGAAGUUUAUGGCAUUUGAAUAUCCAUAAGGGGUCCCAUCUUAGCUGUUGGUGGAUUUUUUAACGUGUUGAAGGUUAUCGUCAAAGAGUAAAUGCUAUGAAGCUGCUUUUUCUAGUAGAUUAUAUAUUAAAACAAAAUAAAAAAUCUCCUACCUCAAUCAUGGACGCUUGUUUACGUCAUUGUUGCUGUGGAUGCUUCUGAAGCGGAACCAAGUCAUCGAAUGCCCCACCUCAGUUGUUGGCAGAUUUUCUAACGCCUUGAAGUUUAUCGUCGAAGAGGUCCCUAAACUCAUAUGAAAAACAAAAUGCAAUCAUCAGCCAAACUGUCCUCAGCCCCCUGGAGCUAACGGAAACUGAAACAGAUUAUGCAAUAAUGCGAUGGCACACAUAUUUGACAAACUUGUCUCGGAAUACAGUACUGGGGCAGUUACUGACUUACUGGAUAUUUGUUAUAGAUGCUUUUGAAGCGGAAGAAUUUGCUGAGGUGGCAACGAAGCCACUGAAAGCCCUUCCAUAUGAAACACAUGGUAGAAGUUUAUGGCAUUUGAGUACCCCAUAAGGGGUCCCAGCUCAGCAGUUGGCAGAUUUUUUGACGUCAUCUUAAGGCCGCUCCAUAUACAUAUUAACGUUGGUUAUUUUAGUAAAAUCAUAAAUUUUUGUAUGCUUAUAUCUACAAGAAAACCAAUAAUAUCACCCCAUCUGAAAAUUUUACCUUUCUUAGAGCAAACAUGUUGUGGGUGGCCACUUACCUUGUAUUCUCACUAUAUUGUUGUUUGCUACAAACAGGAUCCGAGCUACCAUCUUCUCAUGUGACUAGAAUUUAACUAUAAGUUGGAUGGAGUUAGUGUGGUGGACCAAAAGCGAAAUAACAAAGAUACCUCAGCAUGAAAAUUGCAAAACAUUUGAAUUUUGUAAAAUAUAGCAAUAACCACUAAACCACAAGGACCAGAACCGCAA